CGCUAAUCGGAUCAGGGUUAGUCGGGUCCUAAGGCUCAGCCGAACGGUGAGGCCGAUGGCAGAACAGGUUAAUAUUCCUGUACUACCUAUAGGAGUGAUGUGGAGACGGAGGAGUGACAACGCCGCGGACUGACGGAAUAGUCCGUUAAAGGGUGUAGAUGUUGAUUAUCCCAGGCAAAUCCGGGAUAAGAGUCGAACCUGACAGUAUACCAAUUUCCUCGGAAAACGGUAAUAGUGCGUGUAAACAUACUCCCAAGAAAAUCCGCUAAACUUAAUCUUAUAGGUACCCGUACCGUAAACGGACACACGUAGUCGGGUUGAAUAUACUCAGGCGCUUGAGUGAAUCACGGUUAAGGAACUAGGCAAAUUGAC
rnacentral:rRNA from 1 species